CAGUCAUGAAAUGUAAAGAAAAGUCUCAGAUUAAGUGUGUCAAAACUGUUUUCAAACUGAGCCUGAUUGACAAAUCAGGCUAGGUUGAUUAUGAUGUUUACUCUCCAACAACUAUCUUUCCUUUAUUCUUUUCAUUUCUCUGGGUCGACUCGGUUGCAAUACAUUUCUGGAGCAUUGGUAUAUCUUUUUGUAGAGAUUCAAGAUGCAAAAACAGGGAGUUGUGUGUUGUUUUGAACGCAGCAUAACAUGCUUUGAUUGAACUAAGUAGUACUGAUAGUUCUUCAGUUAUCCUCACCCUUUUCAGAAAGCAGGUCCCAACCAACUCUGGCUUCUCUUCACAGUUCUCCAGCUCCUUCAGAAACGUCCUGCAUUUCAGUCACACACAUGUAAACCUUACAGGAUGGACUUCAAUCAGGCACAAUUUACUAGAAAAUUAGAUAAGAAUGAAUGAGAGAUAAGAUGACAGUAGUCAGACUAAACUAUUUCCCAUAGAGAGAUCUGAUGGCAUUGGUGACACUAAAGCAGGGCUAUUCAAUUGGCGAACCCGGCCCGCGGAGGAAUAUUUACUGGCCCUUUUAGUGAAAAAAAUAAAUAAAAAUAUUUUAACUGCAAAAAAAGAAAAAAUAUAUAUUUUUUAAACUGCUGGCCUUAUAGGGGCCGAUAUGAGGUGCCCUCUCUCAUCCUCGCACAGCACACCGUAGACUUGCUCCGCAAGGCGCGCGGCCACAACAAUCCUCCCCGCAGGCUCCCACUACUCUCUUCUUCGUGAGCUUUUGCAUUGCUCCUCUCAACUGCUUGGCGCGCUCCGCUUCGAAGUUCGCGCCUAAUGUUGUUUUGAUGACCGUUCUGCCUGGUUGAAUCAACCCAAUGUCGCUUUCUACUCUGAAAAAGCGAAAAGUAUACUCAGAAAACCAACAAUCCAAUAGCGAAUGGACACAGAAGUAUUCGUUUGGAUUUGCCACUGGGAAGCCUGUGUGUUUACUCUGCAGCGAGUGUAUAUUGGUGUGUAAAGAACUGAGAAGGCAUUUUAAGAUAAAUCAUGCUAACUUCGACACCGCUAUCCCACUGGCCUCUGAUGCUCGCCGCCAGAAGAUUUUGGGGCUAACUUCAUGCUAUCAACAGAGACACCGAACCCUAACCCUUGUUCAGAACAAGAGAGAGCAACAUCAGCAUCACUACGAGUCGCCUGGACAUUAGGCCAAAAGAAAAGGCUGUUUACAGAUUCUGAGACCGUCAAAGAGUGUAUGGUUGCAUCGAUCAAGGAGGUUACAGAUGAGAAAACCCGAAACAGCGUGAUUAAUUCAAUCAAGAAAAUGUUUUUUAGACUCUUUUGGACAAACUCAAAAAAGCGGAGGUGAUGUCUCUAGCUGUUGAUGAAUCAACCGACAGCAGCGAUGUAGCACAGCUGUGCCUCUAUGUUAGAUUUUUUGAUGGCGAGUGCUUUUGUGCCACUGGAUGGACACAUGACAGGUGAGAUACUUUUCGAAAAAGUAAUUUCAUUCUUCAUAGAGAACCAGUUGGGGUUGGAGCGUAUCAAUAUGCUGGUUACGGACGGUGCGCUGGUCGAUGUCGGGCAGUACACGGGGACUGUCCGUUAGGUUGGCAGAUGUGGCGCCACAGCAGAGAUCGCUGCAUUGUCUUAUCCACCAAAGCCUCCUGUGUGCAAAACUAAAUGGUGGGUUAAAAGAGACCAUGGACUGUCAUGGCAAUUAUUAACUUCAUUCGUUCUACGAAGAGAUCCUGAUGUUUCCCCGUAAUUCAAAGCAGAAAAAAGCUCACACUUUUCUGUGUCUAAUGGAAAAU